UGUUGUUGUUGUUGUUAUUACUAUUUAUUACUAUUUAUUAUUAUUUUGUAAACAAAGAAUGUAUUUUUUGAAAAUAUUUUCCAGAUAUAUAAACUAGAAUUCCUCUCAGAAUGUGAAUUAAUCUGGGAAUAAUAUUCAUUUUGACACUGAUCAUCUUUCCCCACAGGGUAAGGUUUAAUGACUCCCAUCUAUUGAUAUCUGAAGAAUCCCCUCAUUUUUCUUUAUAUUACUAUUAUUAGUAAUCAUUUUAGUAUUAAGUUACUCAGUUAUAUGUUUUAGUAUAGGAGCCAUGGUGGUGCAGUGGUUAGAAUGCACUAUUACAGGCUAACUCUGCCCACUGCCAGGUGUUCAAUUCUGAGGGGCUCAAAAUUCACUCAGGCUUCCAUCCUUCUGAGGUGGGUAAAAUGAGGACCCAGAUUGUUCAGGAUAAUAUGCUGAUUCUGUAAACCACCCAGAGAAAAGCACUGUGGAACAGUGUAUAAGUCUAAGUGCUUUUUCUAUUGCUAUACCCAUAGCUAGAUAUUUUUCUUUACUAAAUUCUUACUUUUUCUUUCUUUUCUAGCUUUUUCCUUUUUUCUGCAUGUUUUUCUUUUAUUCUUUUUGAAGUUUGUAUUAGCUCUUUUUAAAUUGUAACAUUUAAUAAAAUUUCUAUAAAAAUGACAGCUUUAUAAUUAGCUAGGCCAGUUCCAAAUUGGUUAAAUGGGCCUUACAGUACAGAGAAUUGCAAAAUGAUUCCUUUUAACAAUAACACAAGAAGUAAAUAGCCUUUCUUUGCUCUGAGCUUUUAAUAUUACAUUCAGCUAUGCAUGGCCCUUUACAGUAUUCAGUUUAAUAGUUGCAAUCGGGACACUCAAAGUGGCUUGCAUUUUUCCACCCCUUCAAUUGAAAGAGCCUGGCUGAAUGGUACACACAUGCAAGUUAGAGCAGCUGUGGUGCCCUUUCUCUCAGAUGCCUGGCUUACUGAGAAUGCUGUAGGAAUUCACCAUAAUUUGCAGUUGCAACGCUUGUGCCAAAUUUCUAAAUUGGAGAGUUCAGAAAUGAGCUCUUGUUCAGAAAAGCCAUACCAAUUACAGUCUGAGUUAAACUCACUGGGUAAAGCUUGUCUUGUCUUUUAUUCAUUUACCCAUGUGAUGUACACCCUACCUUUUCUAGAAACUCAAAGCAAAGUAUGUACCAUUUCCUCCCCCAUCACCCAUUCCCAACAUUUCCUGCAACCGUUCCCCCUUUCAAAAUUAACCAGGGAGGAGAUUAACUAGCAACAGAGAAAACAUAUUAAUUAGCAGCAGAUGAUAGGUGGUUGAUCUUUAAGUUCUUUCUCUGACCUUGCCAACAAAGAGGAGGUUUAUUCAGUUUUAAUUUCCUGUUUGAAUAUACCAAGCCAGAGGGAAGCAACAGUUAAAAAUACUCAGCAGCAUUUCUAAGAGCACAAUGGAGGAUCCAGAGCCAUCCUUGCCAUCAGGAACAGUGAGACCUUUUUCUGCUUCCAGCUGAUGCUCCUCCUAAAUAGUCACCAGACAGGGACACUGUUCUGUAAACAUCACUGGGAAGUAUCUUUCAGGUAAAAUGAUGGAAGACUUUUCUAUAAAGGGGGAAGGUGGAAGAAAGAAGUCAUGAGGGGGGAGAAUCCCCAUCAUUUAAAAGUGCUGCGGCUACCUGUUUUCCCUGAAAAACUACCUAUGGGCCGAAGAACCUUUUUGAUACGGCAGAACAGCAUCAGGACUGGCUUCUAGAUAAGGGAAUAUACAAGAUAGUCCUCAAAUUAUGACCACAACUGAGCCCAAAAUUUCCAUUGCUAAGCAAGACAGUUGCUAAGUGAGUUUUGCCUCAUUUUAUGAGCUUGCUUGUCACCGUUGUUAAGUGAAUCACUGCAGUUGUUAACACAGGUGUUAAAUGGCUUUCCCACUGCUUCUCAGAAGGUCACAAAAAAUGAUCAUACGACCUUGGGACUCUGCAACCAUCAUAAAUACAUGCCAGCUGCCGAGUGUCCAAAUUUUGAUCAUGUGAACACGGGGAUGCUGCAAUGGUUAUAAGCGUGCAAAAUGGGCAUAUGUCACUUAUUUCAGUGUCGUUGUAACUUCAAACAGUAACUAAAUGAAUGGUUGUAAAUUGAGGACCGUCUAACUGAAAAUCAGAUGAAGAUAUUACAUAUGUACGCAACUUUGUUAUUGCAAGAUGUUUUCUUUUUUCUCUCCCUUCUCUUUCAGCACUCGUUUUGGGAGAGGCAUAGGGACUAUAAUCGAGAGGACAGAUAUAUCACUAUGCCAAUGAAUCCACUUCUGGUCAUGAUUUUCAGGCUCCAAUCCCACGUCACACUAUUCACAAACAGUAAUUAGAGACACUGUCCACUUUUAACUGUGCCAUUUCUGCUGUAGACCCAGAUGCACACAAAGUAUAAGGUUUUUUUUCUUUAAAAAAA